rnacentral:rRNA from 1 species
GUGCCAGCAGCCGCGGUAAUACGUAGGGUGCAAGCGUUAAUCGGAAUUACUGGGCGUAAAGCGUGCGCAGGCGGUUUUGUAAGACAGUGGUGAAAUCCCCGGGCUCAACCUGGGAACUGCCAUUGUGACUGCAAGGCUAGAGUGCGGCAGAGGGGGGUGGAAUUCCGCGUGUAGCAGUGAAAUGCGUAGAUAUGCGGAGGAACACCGAUGGCGAAGGCAAUCCCCUGGGCCUGCACUGACGCUCAUGCACGAAAGCGUGGG